rnacentral:rRNA from 1 species
GAUGAACGCUGGCGGCGUGCUUAACACAUGCAAGUCGAACGGAAAGGCUCCUGCUUGCCGGGGUACUCGAGUGGCGAACGGGUGAGUAACACGUGGGUGAUCUGCCCUGCACUUCGGGAUAAGCCUGGGAAACUGGGUCUAAUACCGGAUAGGACCACAUUUUGGAUGGUGCGGUGGAAAGUUUUUCGGUGUGGGAUGAGCUCGCGGCCUAUCAGCUUGUUGGGGGGGUAAUGGCCUACCAAGGCGUCGACGGGCAGCCGGCCUGAGAGGGUGUACGGCCUCAAUGGGACUGAGGUACGGCCCAGAGUAGGACGUGAGGAAGGGGUGGGAGAUAAUGAGGAGUGGGCGCACGCGUGAUGCAGCGACGUCGCGGGGGGGGUGACGGCCUAGGGGGUGCGAGAUGAUGUUGCUUAGGACGAAACGAAAGGGACGGUGCCUGGGGAGGAAGCAUCGGCGAACGACGUG